CCUACGGGAGGCAGCAGUGAGGAAUAUUGGUCAAUGGGCGCUAGCCUGAACCAGCCAAGUAGCGUGAAGGAUGACUGCCCUAUGGGUUGUAAACGUCGUUUAUAGGGGAAUAAAGUGCAGUAGGUAUACUGCUUUGCAUGUACCUUAUGAAUAAGGAUCGGCUAACUCCGUGCCAGCAGCCGCGGUAAUACGGAGGGUCCGAGCGUUAGCCGGAUUUAUUGGGUUUAAAGGGAGCGUAGGCGGGUUGUUAUGUCAGUUGUGAAAGUUUGCGGCUCAACCGUAAAAUUGCAGUUGAUACUGGCAUCCUUGAGUACAGUAGAGGUAGGCGGAAUUCGUGGUGUAGCGGU
rnacentral:rRNA from 1 species